UACGUAGGGUGCGAGCGUUAAUCGGAAUUACUGGGCGUAAAGCGUGCGCAGGCGGUUGUGCAAGACCGAUGUGAAAUCCCCGGGCUUAACCUGGGAAUGGCAUUGGUGACUGCACGGCUAGAGUGUGUCAGAGGGGGGUAGAAUUCCACGUGUAGCAGUGAAAUGCGUAGAGAUGUGGAGGAAUACCGAUGGCGAAGGCAGCCCCCUGGGAUAACACUGACGCUCAUGCACGAAAGCGUGGGGAGCGAACAGG
rnacentral:rRNA from 1 species